UUUCGCCCCGAGGCCGAAGCCACUCGCUGCUCGCGGCCGGCUCUCCUCUCCUUCUGCAGCGAGGAGCGCGGCGAGCCGGCGACCAUCCUCCUCCCCUGCGAAGCAGCGCCGGCGCAGACCCAGCGCAGGAGGCAGAGACAGGGCUGUACGCGCAACAUCCAGACGGAUAUUGUUCUCCGUGAGCAGCACCGGCGCGCCAGAAGCAGAGUCGGCGAGGGUUUAGGGGAAAGCCGCGGCAGCGAGCGACCUCCUCCUUCGUGCUUGGAUUUCUCUGCCGGCCCUCCCCGCCGGAUCCUCCUCCGGGUAUCCUCGCCUUCCUCCCCCCUCCCGCCUUCCAGUAUCGCUCGCCUCCCCGUCCCGUAAUCCAUGAAUCCAUCACAGCUCGGGGAUUUUCCUUUAAGUGACAAUGCAGGAACAGAACGUGCAGGACCUCUGGAGGGAGGGCAGGGAAAAUGACGAGGUGAAAUGGGAGAAAUUAAGACUGAGGAUUAAAGAAGAGGAGGACGCACUUCAUAGGCGUGGGUGGUUUGGAGCUAAUUUCUUCAAUUGGAGUGACCGCCGGUGUGUAGCAGACGGCGGAGAGGCAUGAACAUCUCUGAACGAACCGCUUACACCGCAGCAGCCACACAUUCCAUUGGACACAAACACCCCGGAAGUAACGACAGUUGGGACUUCAAUGCCUGUGGCUCAGCUGGAGGUACACCCUGAAGGGAUUCACUUUACGUCUUCAAGGUCUGAAAGGCCAACGGUUUAUGAUAUCCGGGCUCGUCCUCAUUUUUUUGAGAGUAUUUCUAAGAGCAAGGACUUCCGAAUGGUGAAAAUUGGUGUCCGUGUCCUUACAAGGCAGGGGCAGAAUUUCAACAAGAGGGUCUUAGCAUCAAUCAUCCAUGUAGUACUCACAGCUGUUGUUGCUGAGUACAAUGCUGGUCAGCUAUUAGCACACAGAGAGGCUCUGGGUAAUGAGAUUAAGAGGUUACUGAUAGACAGGGCAAUGAACAUGAAAAUUUCCCUCGAUGAUGUGUCCAUUACUACCCUUAGUUUACUUUCUGAAGAAGAAAAUUCUGAGAAAGCUGAGCAGGACAGCAGCAGCGGAAUUAUCAGGGCACAGCUGGGUGAUAACAACUGGGACAAGCUGCAAACAUACUUAACCCUUGCUUUAGUCGUCGGGUUGACAAUCUUGCUUUCAGUCCAGUCUCUAAUGCCUUCUGAGUAUCUAUGCUAUAUCAUUGGUGUAUUUGCCACAGUAUGGAUAUUCGGGACUAUUGCUCUUCUCUGUGGUUUGUUCGGAACUUACAGAUACGAGAAGAGCUUUAGCCGUCAUGUUGGACGCUUCACGUUCUUGUGUUUUUCAAUCUUUGUUCUAUAUGUCUUCUUCCUCAUUUCAAAACCAAUUGAACCGCCCACCUCUUCACUCAACCCUCCAUCACCGUCAGCACCCUUAGUAAUGACAAUGGACAGCCGUGCACUAUUUUUCCUUGCACUUGGACUUAUAGUGUUGGCUGGUCACAUCUAUUCUUGGGUCAUGGGUUGUCGUACAGGCUCUGACAUAUAGGUGUUGGACUGACACCUGCAUCAAAUCUGACUGAUUGCACAAGGAGGUGAAUGGUGCUCUGAGUUGAUCUGACCGGUUCUCCUUUACAAUGUGCUUAUUCAGGGGAAGCGUCACGUGCUGGGGAUAGGAUGUGGUGUCUAUGUAGCUGUAAAAUACGAUGAUGCAAGAACUUGCGUUUUCGGCACAGUAACGAGGCAAUUCAUGGACUGGUUGUUUCUCCGUGGUUUUUUCAUGUCACGAUUCCUGGGGAAAGUUUCGUGUAGCUGUAACAUGAUCCUACAUAAUUCUGAUUCAGAGAGGGUAACCGUGAUGAGCAUACCAUCAACCAUGACCGUGAGUCUCCAAAACAUGUGUAAUCUUUUACAAUGAUACUGCAGCUUGUAGGUUAUAUGCCUGUAUAUAUGACGAGAGGUGAGAAUUAAGA